rnacentral:rRNA from 1 species
CCCUUAGAUGUUCUGGGCCGCACGCGCGCUACACUGACUGACUCAACGAGUGUACAACCUGCUUCGACAGAAGUGGGUAAUCUUUUGAAAUUCAGUCGUGAUGGGGCUAGAUUAUUGCAACUAUUAAUCUUCAACGAGGAAUUCCUAGUAAGCAUAAGUCAUCAACUUGUGCUGAUUACGUCCCUGCCCUUUGUACACACCGCCCGUCGCUCCUACCGAUUGAGUGGUUCGGUGAACUCUUCUGACUGCGCGGCACUAGCUUGUGCGGAAAGUUGAAUAAAUCAUAUCACUUAGAGGAAGGAAAAGUCGUAACA